UAGCUCACUAGUCGAGAGUCCCUGCGCCGAAAAUGUCCGGGGCUGAAACACAACACCGAAGCCGUGGACUCCGUAAGGAGUGGUAGAGGAGCAUUCUUAAAACCGACGAAGCUGUACCGGUAAGGAGCAGUGGAGGGAUAAGAAGAGAGAAUGCCGGAAUGAGUAGCGAGAGGAAGGUGGGAAUCCUUCCGGCCGAAUAUCUCAGGUUUCCAGAGUAAAGCUGAUCUGCUCUGGGUAGGUCGGGGCCUAAGGAGAGGUCGCAAGACGUAUCCGAUGGACAACAGGUUUAGAUUCCUGUACCGCAUAUAAACAGAACUGUGGGGACGCAUAUGGAAAGCAUAAGCCGGGAAUGGAAAAACCGGUACAAGCGAGGUAGGUGUGUGACAGGCAAAUCCGUCAUAUAAGCCGAAGACGUGAUGUGGAGCGAAAUUAAGUAGUGAAGUAUGUGAGCCAUGUGCCGAGAAAAGCCGCUAUUGUUUUAUAUGUGCCCGUACCGUAAACCGACACAGGUGGAUGAGGAGAGAAUCCUAAGGCCGACGGAAGAAGCAUUGUUAAGGAAUUCGGCAAAAUGACCCCGUAACUUCGGGAGAAGGGGUGCCCACUGAAUGGUGGGCCGCAGAGAAUAGGCUCAAGCAACUGUUUAGCAAAAACACAGGUCUAUGCGAAACCGAAAGGUGAAGUAUAUGGGCUGACGCCUGCCCGGUGCUGGAAGGUUAAGAGGAGAGGUUAGCGCAAGCGAAGCUUUGAAUUUAAGCCCCAGUAAACGGCGGCCGUAACUAUAACGGUCCUAAGGUAGCGAAAUUCCUUGUCGGGUAAGUUCCGACCCGCACGAAAGGCGUAAUGAUUUGAGCACUGUCUCGACAAUGCAUCCGGUGAAAUUGAAGUACCAGUGAAGAUGCUGGUUACCCGCGCCAGGACGGAAAGACCCCAUGGAGCUUUACUCCAGUUUGAUACUGGGAUUCGGUACUGCACGUACAGGAUAGGUGGGAGACUGAGAACUAUGGACGCCAGUCUGUAGGGAGUCGCUGUUGGGAUACCACCCCUGUAGUACUGGGUUUCUAACCAGCUGCCGUGAACCGGCAGUGGGACAAUGUCAGGCGGGGAGUUUGACUGGGGCGGUCGCCUCCGAAAGGGUAUCGGAGGCGCUCAAAGGUUCCCUCAGAAUGGUCGGAAACCAUUUGAAGAGUGCAAAGGCAGAAGGGAGCUUGACUGCGACACCGACGGGUGGAGCAGGUACGAAAGUAGGACUUAGUGAUCCGGUGGUAUAAAGUGGGAUUGCCAUCGCUCAACGGAUAAAAGCUACCCUGGGAUAACAGGCUUAUCACUCCCAAGAGUUCACAUCGACGGAGUGGUUUGGCACCUCGAUGUCGGCUCAUCGCAUCCUGGGGCUGUAGCAGGUCCCAAGGGUUGGGCUGUUCGCCCAUUAAAGCGGUACGCGAGCUGGGUUCAGAACGUCGUGAGACAGUUCGGUCCCUAUCCGGCGCGGGCGGAGGAUAUUUGAGAGGAGCUGUCCUUAGUACGAGAGGACCGGGAUGGACGGACCACUGGUGUAUCUGUUGUCGACCAACGGCAUAGCAGAGUAGCCAAGUCUGGAAGGGAUAAACGCUGAAGGCAUCUAAGCGUGAAGCCCCCCUCAAGAUGAGAUAUCCCUCCUUCGGGAGUAAGACCCCUUGAAGACUACAAGGUAGAUAGGGCAGAGGUGGAAGUGUGGCAACACAUGGAGCUGACUGUUACUAAUAGGUCGAGGGCUUGGU
rnacentral:rRNA from 1 species